rnacentral:rRNA from 1 species
GACGAACGCUGGCGGCGUGCAUAACACAUGCAAGUCGAACGAAGUGGCGAACGGGUGAGUAAUGCGUAAACAACCUGCCCUUCAGAGGGGGACAACAGUUGGAAACGACUGCUAAUACGGCAUACAGAAGGAGGGGAUUGCGUCUGAUUAGCUAGUUGGAGGGGUAACGGCCCACCAGGGCGAGGAUCAGUAGCCGGGCUGGGAGGAUGAACGGCCACAUUGGGACUGGGGCACGGCCCCGACUCCUACGGGAGGCAGCAGUGGGGAAUCUUCCGCAAUGGACGAAAGUCUGACGGAGCAACGCCGCGUGAGUGAUGGCGGCCUUCGGGUUGUAAAGCUCUGUUAAUCGGGACGCGGUACCGGAAUAGAAAGCCACGGCUAACUACGUGCCAGCCGCCGCGGUAAUUC